GAUGAACGCUGGCGGCGUGCCUAAUACAUGCAAGUCGAACGGGGUGCUUUUGUAGCAAUACGAGAGUAUCCUAGUGGCGAACGGGUGAGUAACGCGUGGAUGACCUGCCCCAAAGUGUGGGAUAACAGUCCGAAAGGAUUGCUAAUACCUCAUGUGGUUAUCGGUUUUAGAAAGCGAUAACUAAAGCAGCAAUGCGCUUUGGGAGGGAUCUGCGUCCCAUCAGCUAGUUGGUGAGGUAACGGCUCACCAAGGCGACGACGGGUAGGGGACCUGAGAGGGUGGCCCCCCACAAUGGAACUGAAACACGGUCCAUACACCUACGGGUGGCAGCAGUAGGGAAUAUUGCUCAAUGGGCGAAAGCCUGAAGCAGCAACGCCGCGUGUGCGAUGAAGGCCUU
rnacentral:rRNA from 1 species